CGCCUAACACAUGCAAGUCGAACGCAGUAGCAAUACUGAGUGGCAAACGGGUGAGUAUAAUGUGGGAAUCUGCCUUUUGGUUUGGAAUAACACGGGGAAACUUGUGCUAAUACCGAAUAAGCCCUUACGGGGAAAGUUUUAACGCCGAAAGAUGAGCCCGCACUUGAUUAGCUAGUUGGUAAGGUAAAAGCUUACCAAGGCAACGAUCAAUAGCUGUUCUUAGAGGAAGACCAGCCACAUUGGGACUGAGACACGGCCCAGACUCCUACGGGAGGCAGCAGUGGGGAAUCUUGCACAAUGGGGGAAACCCUGAUGCAGCGAUGCCGCGUGAGUGAAGAAGGCCUUUGGGUUGUAAAACUCUUUCGUCGGGGAAGAAAAUGACUGUACCCGAAUAAGAAGGUCCGGCUAACUUCGUGCCAGCAGCCGCGGUAAUACGAAGGGACCUAGCGUAGUUCGGAAUUACUGGGCUUAAAGAGCUCGUAGGUGGUUAAAAAAGUUGAUGGUGAAAUCCCAAGGCUCAACCUUGGAACUGCCAUCAAAACUUUUUAGCUAGAGUGUGAUAGAGGUAAGUGGAAUUUCUAGUGUAGAGGUGAAAUUCGUAGAUAUUAGAAAGAACACCAAAUGCGAAGGCAACUUACUGGGUCACUACUGACACUGAGGAGCGAAAGCAUGGGUAGCGAAGAGGAUUAGAUACCCUCGUAGUCCAUGCCGUAAACGAUGUGUGCUAGACGUUGGAAAUAUAUUUUUCAGUGUCGCAGCGAAAGCAUUAAGCACACCGCCUGGGGAGUACGACCG
rnacentral:rRNA from 1 species